CUCUCUCUCUCGCUCUCCCUGCGAGCAGAAAACCCCCCUCCCCUGUUGCUGUUACUAUUCAUUCGGAGGGUUUUUGGGCCACCACCGUCACAUCUGGCCACCAUUUUGGGUGACACCGGUACCAAAAGAACCAGCGUGACGUCGCCUACCCAUCCCGACCCUUCUCAGCCGCCACCGCCGCUUGUGCUCGCCGGAAUAUCGAGAAAAGUCGCCGGUUUUACCCAAAACUUCACGGAGCUCGUUCGGGUGAUUCCGGCAACCAAAUCUUGCGAUCAAGGUUGAAAUUUGGGGAAUGUUCAAUUUAUAGGGGAGAUUUUUCCGAAUUUUCGGUGGAAAGUCUCGUGCCCUUAUUUCUUUGGGGGAAAAGAGGAUAUAGUUUCAAUGAGUGGGCCUGAUAUCGGGGUGAUGUCGGAAUUUCCACAGGAUUCGUUUCGGGUUUCGAGGAAUUCGGGGUGGGUCCUGUCAUGAAAACCGUGGGAUCUGCGUAACUUUUUCAUAAAUAUUGAAGUCACAAGUUGAAAAUCGAUUUGCCAAACAAUUUCCAUAAA